AUAUUUGGCUUCGUUGUCACAGGACUUUAUUGUCGAUGUUCACUUUUGUUUUUAUUUUUGACCUACAUGGUUUAACUUCAGUCUAACGUUUAUACUAUUUUUCUUACACUAUGUUUGGUUAAAUGGAAUUGCUAUCCCAUUAUGACACGGUUCAAAACUUUAAAGGAAAACAGUUGUUUGGUUAGCUGAAUGUUCAAAACGUCGAAUGGAGAUUACAGGUUUAUUCUAAAAAUCGCCAAAUAGCCAUUCCGGGGAGGAGGUACCGAAUGGCUAUUCCAACCUCUCCAUCGAAUGACCCUUUUUUUCUCCUCCAAAAAUACCCUUUCUUAGAUUAAAUUUUCUCUAACGGUUUCAACUUUUGUUUUCUUUUGGUCAUUCGACAGUCUCAAGCUCAAAUCAAUCUAAAAGGAAGCGGAUCAACUUGAAGGCCAAAUCAACUGGAUUUUGUUGUAAGUUCAAUUCAACUAGGGUUUGUUUUGCAUUUUGAUUGAUUUUUUUUUUUUUUUCUGAUGAUUUGUCCAAGUGGAAUUGAAAUGGAUUCUGCAACUGUUCACGAGGAGAUCGAUUCAUUAUUCGAGUCAACUCCUCCUCUCAAAGAUUCGGCUAAAAUCAUAGACAAAUUGAAUCAAGUCAUCCAAUUUGAUUCUCCUUCAGGAGAAGAAAAAGGGAAGAGGGUAGAGGAGCUGCUAAAACGAUGCUCAAAUCUUAAGAAAAUUAUUAUUUUUAGGGUUAUUUCAAAAGCCAAGCCACACAAGGAAUGCCAGGUGUAUUCAUCUGGCAGCAGUCAAUCUGUUCAAUUUGCUAAUUCGUGGAAAAGAAUUGUUAUUGAGCGAAAUGUUGGUGCCAUGAAGCAGCCAAAUGAUGGAGGAAUUCAUAUUGUAUUCUCUGAAUGGAAGCCAUUUAUGUUUCUUUCUGUAUGAACUAGCUAAGUUCUCUUCGGCAUACUUUCUUCUCCCCCCAAGUAGAUGCUAUACCACUCACAACUGGAAACUGCUGUUUUUUCAUUUAUCCUUUUGAAACUUUAACUUCAGCAUGACCAAGCACUUCUACCUUCAGUUUAACUUAAUAAUAAUGUAUAUAAGUCUUCCUUCAGUGGUUGUAAAACUUCAGACUGUCUUAUCCGGUAAGAUACAUUUGAGGUUUGAAUUCAAAAGAGAAAAAGGAUAAAUACUAAUAAAGGAUAAGUAAAAUACAUGAAGCACUGGUUUUUUUAUAUAGUGAAAAGCAAUAUCUUUGUUUUUAUGUUUUCAUUAUACAUUUUUCUAUAUCUCCAAUUACUGUAAUUAAAUGUCUUCUGUACUUGUUACAUUUUUUUUUCUGUACUGCUGAUAUAUUAAAUUGACACUAUUGUAUGGGUUUGAGGGAGAGCUCUUUGUUGAUGCAGUAACAGAUUUGUUUGCAAUGGCCGUGCUUAACUUGUCUCGCAUCUUUUACUAUUUGGACACUCUUUUAGCCAACUUGUAUCUAUAUCUUAUGUUACGGUUUGGGGGGAAGAUGCCGAAAUGAAUACCACUCUGCCAUGAUUGAAUUCUAAUGCCUUUGUUUAUCUAAUGAACAAUGCAGAUGUAUUUCACCAUUGAUUCAACAUUCUAUGUUUCAUUCACAUUUAUGUUAUAUCUUACAUUACGGAUUGGGGGAAAGAUGCCAAGGGAAGUGUAUGCAGUAGCCAUCGUUGGUCAUUUUCCAAUUGCUGUAACUAAUUUAUUGGAUUUAACAAAUGGGUAGCUUAGGAUACUGAGUUUCCAUUGAUUGCAACUGCAAAAGCUUUACAAAUUUUCAAGAAGAGGAGCCAAUGGUUGCAUGUUAUUCAAGUAUAUUCAGUCUAUUGGUAUUCUUGCUUUGUAUUUUCCAGCUUCUAAAAUACAUUCAGUCAUUGAUGCAGGAA